GGAAGCUAAAUUUCCUUUCCUUUCUUCCCUACUAAGUGUCGUCCCCUACCCCCACAUUAAACCUCCAUUUUCUUAUAAGCUUCAAAGCGAUUAUUAAAUCAUAUCAAAACUCUAUCAAGAACAUAUCAGGGUUCGAGAGGCAGUGUAGAGUGAACAAGCAAGGACUUCUACUUCAUUAAGCGUAUCAGGUUAAGCUGUGGUGUAGAUGGAAACGAGCAGAGCAAAUUCUUUGAUGUAUAUGUAUUAAACUAGGCUCAGGAUUCCAUGUCUUCAUACAUGUAAUCCACAUGAGUUAUUCCGCUGCAACACUUAGUAUAUUCUACUUUAUUGAUGUGUUGUACAGAUUUUAAAUCAAUAGCUUUGAGAAUUAUGUCA